rnacentral:rRNA from 1 species
GACAGAGGGGGCAAGCGUUGCUCGGAAUCACUGGGCGUAAAGGGCGCGUAGGCGGGAUGGCAAGUCGGUCGUGAAAUCCUUCGGCUCAACCGAAGAACGUCGGCCGAUACUGCCGUUCUUGAGGGAUGCAGAGGAGAUUGGAAAUUCCCGGUGUAGCGGUGAAAUGUGUAGAGAUCGGGAGGAACACCGGUGGCGAAGGCGGGGUCUCUGGGCAUCUCCUGACGCUGAGGCGGCGAAAAGCGUGGGGAGCAAACGGGG